GUCCAUGACUUAGCGAUUUGUCUGAGACGCUGAGCCAGCACUUGUGCAGAACACUUCCGGCGAUGUGGUCCUUUGACCGAUAUUCCUGGACAGCCUGAUGUUAAGAGGCUGGUUCCUAUGGAUGUGAGGUCUGCCUGGCCUGAGGUCUACUUGUCACCGAUACCGUAUUGAGACCGGUUCUGAAGGGUGAUUGGAAGAAAAGAUGGUGGUGCCUGUAGAACUCCACUUAGGUCUGCAAAGUACUGGCCUAGCUAUUGCAAAGAUGCUCUAAGAUUUCUCAGUCUGAUCCUAUCUGGAGAGUGCUGUUCCCUGCCACUUCCUCAUCAUUGCUUCUCUCCAUUUGCACCCCCUCCAGGGACCUACUGCUGCCUGAGUCCUUGUUUUGGCAUAGGUUGGGGACAGGGGUGUGGGGUCUGAGUUCCACCUGGGCCCUGGGAACCCACCUCCCUCAGAGACGGCGGUGCCAGGCCAGGCUGGUAGGAAGACACAAAAAGAAUGGCGGGGAGGGAGGGCCUGUGUUCACAACUCCCCUUCCCACAGCCCUGGACACAGAAUCCCAUAAUGGCCUUUGGGGGCCUUGGUCUGAAGUCUGGGUUUUCCACUUGCCAGGGGCGUGAUGUCUCUGGUGAAGCUUUGAUGGAAGCCGGGGGCUGUGAACGAGAAACCCUUUAGAAGCCCCGCCCCUUCCUGCUGUUCGCGGUUUGGUUUUUCUUCCUUAGCUCUGGACCAAGAACAUGUUCAGACGUUCCCAAGGGCCCCUUCGCCGCUCAAGGUCUUGGGUCUCCGACGCGCCCGGUCUCCACACAGGGGCGCAUCCCCGGCGGCGUGCGUAAUCGCGGCUUCCUGCCAGCCGCCCCUGACCUUUCCAUCCAGGCAGCUCCGGCUCACGGCCCAGUUCUCUGCGAGCCGGCUGGUGACGUGAGCCGCCUCCCCGGCACUGGCCGCUUAGAUGCCAAGGGGCUGCCGGAAGGCUCCGUCCUCCUGAGUUGGGUGUCAGGACAGCCCGGUUUUCCAGUUCUUCUUCCUGGUUGGUUUCAAGAAACCAGCCUCAACGCCCUGAACAAGAAGAGAAACCAAAAGUACCGUGCUGGUUCCCCCAAGUCCGCCUCCCUUCUGCCCUCCUGAUGGUCUGUCUCUGGGGGCUAGCGCCCCCAUCAGCUGACUGCUGCAUGACCUGAAGCCUGCGGGCUACCUUAAGUGUGGGUGGUGAAGUGAAUUGAACUCGUGCCCCCUGCAGUGGAAGCGCGGAGUCUUAACUGCUGGACCUCUGGGGAAGUCCCUCAUUCCUGCUUGAAAACACAGGAGAAGCGCCUCACUGGGCACCUGGGGAGUGUCUGAAACCUCACCUAGGACCCUCUUUCUCUCCAUUAGCUGUGGGGGCAGCGUGACUGACUGGCCGGGGGGACCUGAGCAGCGGUGCCAUGCCACAGGGAGGGGCCAGGCCACUGUCCUCUGUGCCCCGGAGGCCGACACCAGAUGCCUGGCCCCAGGUUCCUAAGCUGUCACCUUACAGGCCCUGGGUCCUGCCCUGAGACCCCCCCUCCUGGUCUGGGCCCAGCCACCCAGGGAUGACUCACCCCCAUUCCGCCCCCGCUGGAACCAGGCACCAAAAUAGUCACCCAGCUCACUCUUGGGAGUGGCCGUGGAAUAUUUCAGGGCCGCGUUCAGUGCCUAAAAAUACUUGGGG
ensembl:lncRNA